CUGGGAAACGAUAGGGAAGAAGUCGAAGAAACCAGGGCAAGCAGCUGGGAAACAGUGGGCACCGUGGGGUUCCACAAAUGCUGCACCUAACACAGCAAGGCCAGCAUGGGGUGGCAAUGGUUCCUCGCACCCUUCUGGAACCAGCCAGCCUCAAUCUUCAGACCGUGGUGCUGCUAACAGAGGCAAUCCUAGGCCGCCGCCACAAAUAAGGGUAAUGGAAAGAGAACUGCAAGCACCGCGCCCUGUCGUGACUCCACCUCUGGCAAAUGGUUGGCAGUGGCAAUCCAGGUCUCGCCCAUCUGCUUCUGAAGGUCAGCAGGAUGAUGCUCCUCCACCUGGUGGUGACCCUGACCCUGAGGAGGAGAACGUUGAUGGUAAUGGUACAUCAGAUGAUGAUGAUGAUUUGAGUGAUGAUAUCAGUGAUGAGUAUGAUUCUGAUGCAAGUGAGAAAAGUUUUGAGAUUCGAAAAAUGAACAAGUGGUUCAAAGUUUCUUUGAAGACUUGGAUACAUUGAGUGUGGAACAAAUAAAUGAACAGACUAGGCCAUGGCAAUGUCCGGCAUGCAAAAAUGGACCUGGGCAAUUGAUUGGUACAAUGGGCUGCAACCUUUGAUGACUCAUGCUAGAACAAAGGGUUCUACAAAGGUUAGGCUUCACAGAGAGUUGGCUGCGUUGCUGGAAGAGGAGCUAUCUCACAGGGGUACUUCGAUGGUACCAGCUGGCGAACAGUUCGGAAAAUGGAAAGGACAUAGUGUGGCCACCAAUGGUUAUUGUUAUGAACACAUUAUUGGAACAAGAGGAAGAUGAUAAGGUGACUGAUUUUUUGUCUUUCGCUAUGUCAAUACAUCGUUUUCUUUCUGUGGAUUGCUAUUAAUUUUAAAUACAGAUUUUACAGUUGGGCUCCCUCUACCCCUCAUAAGCAUAUCUUUAUACUUAUGCAUCUUGUUAGACAUUUUUUUUUGACUGUAUAGAGUUGCAAUAUGCUUCCUAAAUGGAUCAGUUACUAUGAAGUAUGAACAAUGUGCUAUCUUUCUUGUUGUAUUGUGCACUGACAAUUGACCACAUUGAUCCUCUUUAUUAUUUUAUACUCCCUUCGUCCCCAAAUGAAUGUCAUUCUAGUUUUGUCCGAAGCCAAACUAUCUCAAGUGUAACCAAGUUUGUAGAGAAGAGUAUCAACAUUUGUGACACCAAACAUAUUUUGAGCUUAGUGUUUUAAAAUAUUUACAGUUAUUAAAUUAGGCUGGAGGCUAAACUGCAAUAUUUAUUCACUUUUAUGACUGUUUUUCCACUUUUUUUUGCACUCGAUGCUUGUUACUGCUACUUUGAAUUUACUACAUAUAGUUGGAGUUGUGGAUCAUAAAUGCGCAUUUCUUAGCUUUUAUAUGAAAAGACCUUUGAUAUAGCUCUUCAAGGGCUGUACAGUUGAUUGUAUUGUAUUCUGAUUCUGUUUAUUUUUUUGAUCUGCUGUAGUUGAAGGGCAUGGGAAACCAAGAGCUCCUCAAUUAUUUUGGUGAAUAUGCAGCAACUAAAGCACGCCAUGCCUAUGGUCCAGGUGGGCACCGUGGGAUGAGUGUGUUAAUAUUUGAAAGCUCGGCUGUGGGCUGUAUGGAGGCGGAACGGCUGCAUAGGCACUUUGUUACUCAAGGUACAGGGAGGGAGGGAUGGCAAUUCCGCAAGGUUCGGUUCUUACCUGGUGGGAAGAGACAACUUUAUGGUUUCUUAGCAAACAAAGAGGAUAUGGAGACAUUUAACAAGAAUUCCCAAGGUACUGUUUCUUAUAGAUGUAGUGCUUUUUGGUUCUUUUUAUAUUCUUAGUUUUUUUUCAGUAAAACAACUAAACUUCGUGAACUUUUCCCUGAAUUCUUCAUGUCUUGAAUAAUGACCGGCAGUGGUUGGCAUCUGGUAAUCAUUUUUUUCACCCACUGGUGGACAGCAAUAGCAGCAAAAUAUUGCUAAACUUUGUAACAAUCCAACCAAUUAACUGAUUCCACAGUGCAGCACAACAACUGAAAAACAGCGCUUAGUUUGAGGAAGACAGAUACUCGCCCGCAGUUUCUUUUCCUUUAUAUAGGCCAAUAAAUAUUGAGCAUUCAUUUUGGUUUCAUGCAGCUGUCUUUUUUGAGGGCUUGCUUAGAAUGGGAGGAUUGCGCUAUGUAGUUUAGUUUUUUUCUUCUUCUUUUGUGCUAGUAAAUCAUAAGGAUGCCCAGUUCCUUGUAUCCAAGCAGGCCAUUAGAUUGCUUCCUUAUGUGGUGAUAACUUACGAUUCGUCAAAGCAGUUCUUCUUUGUGUGCCACUAUUGUCUAGCUUCAGUGCAAUUGGAUCACCUACGCUUAUGACUGAACUAUUAUCUAUUAUGAAUAACAAAGUAUUCUUUUGUAUGUCUUAUAGUAGAACAGUACAAUAUUGCCCUUUUGGAAAUUUCUCCAAGUUCUGUUUGUAGUGUGGUUAUUUUAAAAUGCAUACUUGAAGCCAUGCCCAUUGUGUUGUAUCUGUUCAACAAUUACUUUCAGCAUUUUACUAACUUAACAGAAUCAUGGCUAACCAUAUUUCAUCUUCACUAUAAUUUAAGGAAAAGGCCGUUUGAAGUACGAGAUGAGGUCUUACAAUGAGAUGGUGGUGAUACCAAUGAAACAGAUGAGCGAAGACAACCAACAACUGAAUUAUCUGAAGAACAAGAUGGUUAAGACAGAGCAACGCUCUAAAGCAGUUGAAGAAACCUUGGGUGUUGUUACCCAGAGGCUUCGUGAGACUAUGGAAGAGAUGAUAUUUGUCAGGGAUAAAGCCAAAGAGAAGCACUCGGAGUAUAAGCAAGAGGUAAUAAUAAGGUUACCCAAGGGAUAUAGUAUUUUCUACCAAAGCAUAUCUGCGCAUCAAACAUUUUUUUUUCACAUAUGUCUUUGUUUGCCAAUAAUUCGAGUAAAACAUGAUUAGGAAUUUGCUGGGGAGAGUCACUCUCUUUUGCACUCCAAAACUUUUGCCAUAAGAUUCAUGCUACUAUCUAUCCCAUGUUACCCCUUGUUUUGACCUUGUUUCCAUGCUUUGCAGAUGAAGUACCAGGAGGAAUUUUUCCAUAAUCAAAUUGAGAUUAUCUACAAGGCCAGAGAAGAUGAAGAAAAGGAGUUUGAGAAGUUGCUGCAGGAGGAGCGCUCAAAGGCUAGACGGUUUGAUGUUGACUCUGGAACUACCGAAGUUCGCAAACUUAGGUGCGUGAUUAAUUCAUGGUCGGAUGUUGUCAACUUGUCAUGCCAUAUACCCGCAAUUGGAGUUAUGAAUAAAAGAAAUGGCGAUACAUUUUUUUGGGUCUUGGGGGCAUGGGAAUGCUUCAUCUCAAUUCAUCACUUGUCAAUCUUCUGUUUCCUCCUGUCAUCUCAUCUUAAUUUGUGAGCGUAUGUCAAUUGCCGAUUUCCAUUCUCAAUAAUCCACGCUGUCUUGUGCAGGAAGGAACAUGUGCAGAAGUUCAUCGAUGGCCAGGUGAAGGGCGUGGCGGAGUUUGAGGCCGAGCGGGACGAGCUGAUCAAAACCCACGAGGAGAAGAAGAUGAAGCUCAAGAAAGAGUACAUGGAGAAGGAGGUGGAGCUAGAGAAGGAGCUGGACGCCGCCCUGACGGGCCUGAUCGACAAGCACAAGCCGGACACCUUCCAGGCCUCAAACGCGUGAAGGGCUUCAGGCUUUACCUUAGGUCCCCAGCUUGGAACAACCUUGUAGAUGCUCCUCCUGUUGUCCUCCUUAUGCCUAAAAGAAUGCCUAGACAUUCUGUAGACUGUAGAUGAUGCUAAAAAGCAUGGCCCGGGUGGCGGUCGCGUGCGUGAUCCGGAGGCCUGAACUUGCACCGUGCUUCAUGGUCGCCGUAUACUGUAGUAUCUCUAUCGGAGCGAGUACCGGGCUUUGCUUGUGAUGGUAAUUAACCAAAAGGCUUCAUGGUCGCCGUAUACUUUAGUAUCUCUAUCGGAGAGAGUACUGGGCUUUGCCUGUGAUGGUAAUUAACCAAAAGUUUAGUCUCAGUAAUGCCCAGCUGAAAUAGUGCCAAACUGUUUUUUUUCUAGAAAGAAAAUUAAAGAUCGCCAUAUUCCUGGACAUCCAUCCUGUCGGUGGCAAAAUGGUUCACAAAAUUCUGCUGUCAUGAAGUUUGAGUUGAGCCAAAUUCCAGACACUGCAAGCAUUAUAAGCGAUGGAACAAGUAUCUGUUUCCAAUUUGAUACAGCAAUAUACAGGAGUACCUAGCCUUUGGUGUUACUAGCUUUCUUCUACUUUCUAGUGCGUCAUCCUUCUCUUGAGUUAUUUUUCCAUGUUGAUGCAUUAAUUUUAGUUACUUUUCUUUAGUCAACAAACUGUCACAAUAGUUCAUAGGAGCAACCGGGAAACGACGUUUUCUUUUCAGAUAUCCAUGAUUUCAUUUGGACUCCUUAUGCAUAAUAAUGUUGCAGUUUAUCAUGUAAUUUUUAGCUUCAUCGCUGAUGCAAAUACUACAUUAUUGUUUAUCAUUUCAUAGUCUUUUUAAGCAGAUCAUCAUUUCUCCAAAUUCCAAUAGCAGUCUUGAAAUUGGGAUCCAUCAAGCAUUCAAAGCAGAGCGUAGAUGAAAGACCAAACUAAGGAAAAAGAUAAGACCCAGAUGCUCACUCUUCACCAAUCAUUGGUGAACACUCGAUUGUGUAAUCCCCUCAAAACACUAGUUGGAAAUGUGAAGGCGAAAGAGAGGGGACCAAAACAAGGCAAGCACCCAUGAAAGAGAGAACUCAUGAAUCCACUGUUCUUGACACACACAAAGGAACGACCAAGCAGACCUUCCCUCAACACCGUCGACAUGUUCCUCUAAAACAAACACCAUCUGCAUGAGAAGUGAUAGAGAGCAGAGACCAUUGAAGAAACUAGAACAAGCACCAAGCAGCCAGUAGUAAUUGCGGGCUCAUCAAACGCUUCAUUCAAAUCUUCACCAAACCGAAUCAGAUCAAGCCAAUCCGAGCCAUUAAUGAUCAAAAUCCACUCAAUAAAAACCCGAGCGCACAUUACUGACGCUGACGUGCGGGCCCGUCCUCUGUCCGCGCGAUUCUUUGCCGGGGUUGACUGGUUGACCCCCACGUUUCGAGGAACCGGCAGGGCGGGCCGCGGUCCCCACCUGGCAGCGCCACUCAUUGAUCGCGCAUGAUAUGGUGGGCCCGCCACGCAGGCCCGGUGCGCCCCCUCCCCUCCUUGGGACAGGGGCCAAGGGGGAGUUCGUCACGCUACAGAUAGAGUCUACCCCUGCAACUGCAAUGCGGGACCAUCUUCAAGUGGUCCCACAAUGUCAGUGAUCGCGUCGUCGACGGAGAGGUGUGCACCGGGUGGCGAGAGAAACGAGCACGCACCGUGCGGCCGCGGUGCGCGCACCUCGAGGGGGUGCCGUUACCGGGCGCAUUCACCGUCAGGUGGCCUCCGUCCCCAUGUAUAGCACGGCCCCGACCCCGUUCCGCUCACCGUCACGGUGUCUCGCCUCACUCCCCAUCUCCAAAACCCCACUACGCCAAAGAGGGGAGAGGGGAGGGGCGCGCCAGCGCCAUCGAUCGAUGUCUGGCUCCGGCGAUCGCCGCGGCGGCGGGCCUCCCGGCUCCGGUGAGCACCCCCGCCUCUCCUCCUCCCCCUCCCCGUGCUCUCUGGGUGGACGGAUCCUGCAAUGCCGGAUCGUUUAGGGGGUGGGGUAGGGUUUAUGGGGGAGGUGCGGGGAAUUUUUGUGCCUUCCCAGAAUCUCAUUCGCCUCUUGCUUGCGUGCGGGUUCGUCUAGGUGAUUGAUUUGGUGAUCGUGCGGUGCGGGCGAUUUGAUGUCUUUUUUUUUUUUGGGGGGGGGGGUUGUUCGAUUUUGGGCCCGUUGUUUUGGAGCGAUUGGUGUUUGGGGACGAUGGGCGAAUGCUGAUUCGCGUGGGGGCGGAAUCAGUGGGUUUGUUCGGGCGUUCGAUUUGUUCAUCUGCUCUGCGCGGAUCCAUGGUGUUACUUGUGUUUCGUUUCUGUCGUUUGGGGUUUCACCUGUUUGAACUUGGGGAUCGCUCUCGAUUUUUUUCCCGUUUGCUUUUGGUGGGAUCUAGCCAUUUAGGUGCGGUUCGUGUGCUCCGUACGAAGCAGAUUUUGUUAGGCAUAUUCCUUUCGUUUUCCAUUUUUUUUCUUUUUAAGAAGUUGUAAAUACAUUCCACUGAGUAAUUUGUGGUGUAUAUGCUAGUGGCUUUUGUAUAAUAGUAUAAAUAGACCAUUGCAUUUCUGGGAUGUCCUGUUAUCCUAGCAAAACGAGGGGCUCUAAACUUCCCUUCCCGUGGUGUGGAUUUUUAUUGAAAUUUUAGGUGAUUUUUACUGUCUUAGUUGCAUGAUGUUUCGAGGGCCCUUUCAGUGCAUCGGCUAUUUCUGAUUGCCUGAUUGGCAUGUUCUCUCCUAGUCUUGAUUUGCUGCGGUUGGUCUGUUUAGUUUUAACAUCAUGUAUCGUUCUGAUUCGAUUCACCUGCUCGUGAGGUGGGAUUAUGUCUUGCAUAGAGAUUCGAGUUGUGUUGUGAAUUUGAUAAAGGUUAUUUCGCAGUUCUUAGUCAAUUCUGGCACUCAUUCAGUUGUCUCCUCAUAAGUUUAAUUGCAUGGUUGUUGUUGGCAAUUUGUUGUUCCUACUGUGGUAUUGUUUGUAUGCAGUUUUUGCUGUUAUAUGCAUAUUUUUCUCCACAGUCUAAUACUCAGGGCUAUAGUUUAUUGUGCAAGAUGUAGACACUUUACCCAUUAGUUUCAUGUCAUGUUAAAUGCACCGUCAGUUAACAAGUGAUAUCUUGAUGUGUAUUGAGUCUGUACUGAAAUAGAUGUUUCUCUUGACAGUUAGAUCUGUGUGCUAGCUUUUGGCUAAUUGUUUCAGCUACUGAUAGUUGCGAACUUACCAGAAGCUAGUUUCUGCAGCUCACCUCACAUCAUUUAAGAUUGUGUAUCGUUCUAUUCCAAAGUCGAAUGUGCAGUUCUUGACAUUAUUCAUAAAUAAUUGUCGAGAUUAAUUUAUCUAACACCGCAUGAUCCUACCCUGCAUACAGACGCUGGCUGGGAAACGAUAGGGAAGAAGUCGAAGAAACCAGGGCAAGCAGCUGGGAAACAGUGGGCACCGUGGGGUUCCACAAAUGCUGCACCUAACACAACAAGGCCAGCAUGGGGUGGCAAUGGUUCCUCACAACCUUCUGGAACCAGCUGGGCUCAAUCUUCAGACCGCAGUGCUGCUAACAGAGGCAAUCCUAGGCUGCCACCACAAACAAGGGCAAUGGAAAGAGAACUGCAAGCA
rnacentral:lncRNA from 1 species